GGCUUGAUGGUGUAGUGGUAACACGUCCGUUUCAAUUAGUAGAGUAUUGACGUAACUUCAUGGGAAGUCCCUUGUUCGAAUCGAGGUCAGGCCG